rnacentral:rRNA from 1 species
CGGUCCCAAGGGUAUGGCUGUUCGCCAUUUAAAGUGGUACGCGAGCUGGGUUUAGAACGUCGUGAGACAGUUCGGUCCCUAUCUGCCGUGGGCGUUGGAGAUUUGAGAAGCGCUGCUCCUAGUACGAGAGGACCGGAGUGGACGCACCUCUGGUGUUCCGGUUGUCACGCCAGUGGCACUGCCGGGUAGCUAUGUGCGGACGGGAUAACCGCUGAAGGCAUCUAAGCGGGAAGCCCCCUUCAAGAUGAGAUCUCCCUGAGACUUCGAGUCUCCUAAAGGGUCCAGCAAGACGAGCUGGUUGAUAGGCACGGUGUGGAAGCGCUGCAAGGCGUUGAGCUAACGUGUACUAAUGCCCCGUGAGGCUUGACCAU